UGGCUCAGAAGACGACCGAACAGGCUAACGUCGUGGCCGACACCGCUGUUUCUGGGGCCAAUGAGGUUGCCCAGGCAACGGUGCAGGGGGUGGAGAAUGCGGCAGCGGCAACCGGAUUCGUUAGCACGGAGGAGGCGGAGCCAGUGCCUGAGGAGACUGAGCUCCAAAAACCAAACGCAGGAGGAGAACAGACUGAAGAAGCUGCACAGUAGGUGAGAAAGACCAUGAGAGAGUGGUGAUGUUUCAGCUGCAGAUGAAUCUGCAGAGCU